rnacentral:rRNA from 1 species
GGGUCAGUAGGUUGGUCGUGCCACCGGUACGUACUGGUCUCGCUGAUUCCUCCUUCCUGAAGAACCGUAAUGCCAUUAAUUUGGUGUUGCGGGGAAACAGGACUGUUACUUUGAAAAAAUUAGAGUGUUUAAAGCAAGCUAACGCUUGAAUACAUUAGCAUGGAGUAAUGAAAUAGGACGAUCGAUCCUAUUUUGUUGGUUUCUAGGAUUGACGUA